rnacentral:rRNA from 1 species
GGGUCAGUAGGUCGGUCGUGCCACCGGUACGUACUGGUCUCACCGAUUCCUCCUUCCUGAAGAACCGUAAUGCCAUUAAUUUGGUGUUGCGGGGAAACAGGACUGUUACUUUGAAAAAAUUAGAGUGUUUAAAGCAAGCUAACGCUUGAAUACAUUAGCAUGGAAUAAUGAAAUAGGACGAUCGAUCCUAUUUUGUUGGUUUCUAGGAUUGACGUA